UAUAUGAUUAAAAUCUCGACGUUUCAGUCCACGUCCUGGGCUUUCUUCAGGAAACAAAAACAAUAACAUAUCAGCCUAAAGUGCUGCAAUAUAUACCCAUAAAUAGGAGGAAAAGAGAGGAGGAAAUUAAAGAAAUUAAACUCACCACAGGUGAUGUAUGUUUGCCAGAUCGGCGUGUGCUUUGAGUCUGUGCGUCUGCAUAGGGGUAUCACAACCCGCAAGUACUGUGCGGGGACGUUAUUUCCAGCGCUCAGAUGAGCUCGGUGCAUGUGCACAUGCAUGGGGGUAUCUUAACCCGGAAAUAUUGUGCAUAGACACGACCUUGUUUACAUGGUUACAUGCCCUCGCAAGAGGGCACCAUGGAAACCAUAGUAAAC